rnacentral:rRNA from 1 species
UGAGGAAUUUUGCGCAAUGGGCGAAAGCCUGACGCAGCGACGCCGCGCGGAGGAAGACGGCCUUCGAGUUGUAAACUACUGUAAGGGGUAAAGAAACUUCGCAAGAAGCUGACGGUAACCCCAGAGGAAGCCCCGGCUAACUACGUGCCAGCAGCCGCGGUAAUACGAAGGGGGCAAGCGUUGAUCGGAAUUACUGGGCAUAAAGGGUGUGUAGGUGGCUGAAUAAGUUAAGGAUGAAAUCCCGAGGCUCAACUUCGGAACUGUCCUUUAGACUGUUCAGCUUGAGUCUAGUAAAGGAGAGCGGAAUUCACGGUGGGGCGGUUAAGUGCGUCGAUAUCUGGAGGAACACCAGAGGCGUAGGCGGUUCUCUAGGCUAGUCCUGACACUGAGACACGAAAGCUAGGGGAGCAAACG